AAGAAUAUCUCUACAAAAUAUCUAAACUUUUAUUCCUGCAGUCAUCGCUUACAAGAGAAAUCACUACUUGUGACCAAGUAGAAGGGUGAGCAAGUCUUUUUUUUGUACUACUUGUCAGCAAUGUAAAAUAGAAUCUGUUGUGAUAGCCAGUGGUUGGUAAAACAACAUGCUUGGUGGACAUCACUGAUGUAACUGGACAUCUUCAGCAGGAUCUUUGUUGUUCCUUCUUUUUUCCAUUUUGAUAGAAUCUGAUUUGUAAAAUAAAAUCUUGGGACUGAUUGUUCUCUUAAAGUGGUGGGAUAUAGUCCAGAAUUUUUGUUGUUAUUGCAGUUGUACCAAUAAGAUGUCAGAAUUCAUGUUUUGAGAUUUAGAUCUUGGAUAUUCUUAUGCCCAUUUGUAUGAUAAUUUUUUAAUUUUUGUCAGGUGACUUAGUGGAAGGCAGAGGGAUUAACGAUCUCUGAUAUCCCCGUAUAUAUUGGAAAAUAAAUGGGAAAGUUAGAGAAGACUAUGAUGCUCAACGGUCAAUGUCGGUGGGAAUUUCCAAUGUACGAGCAGGUGAAGUUUUUUCAGUAUUUGAAAUCAGGAAAAGUUUUUAAGAAAUGCAUUUGUUGUUUGAUUGCGGAUUUUCACUUGAUACGUGUUUAUUGUUCCUGCAGAAUCCCAAUAACAAAAGACAAACUUAACAAAGAAGAUGGAGUCAAAAUACACAAAGUGAAGAACCUAAAAGAACAUACAAACAGUCAUCAUUUGCUAGCUCCAUCGUAAGUGUUGAAUGUGGUUUGGGACGAGAUAGAUUCAUGUGUUUAAGUUCAACAAAGAAGAAGGGAUUCAGAGAUUUUGGUUAAAUAAAGCUUUAUUCUUGGCAAUAGAGGGAUGAUUGUUCGAUGUUGAGAUCAAUAAAAAGUUGAUUUUGAGAUCAACAAAAGGCCGAUGAUGAUUUUCGCAUAGAUAUUUGAGAUCCUAAAACACUGAUCUAAUCUGACAAGAGUAUUGAGUUAUAAGCUUAGUCUUCUAAGUUUUUCUCCCCUUGAAUUUAUCACGAUGUUCCUCUAUUUAUACUAGAGGAGAUCGUGCCACAUUCUUUGACUUGAUAACUAAAGAUGAUAGUAAAUCCAUAAG
rnacentral:lncRNA from 1 species